rnacentral:rRNA from 1 species
CCUACGGGAGGCAGCAGUAGGGAAUUUUGCGCAAUGGGCGAAAGCCUGACGCAGCAACGCCGCGUGAUUGAUUAAGCCCUUCGGGGUGUAAAGAUCUGUCAGUGGGGACGAAACUUGACGGUACCCACAGAGGAAGCACCGGCUAACUCCGUGCCAGCAGCCGCGGUAAUACGGAGGGUGCAAGCGUUGUCCGGAAUCAUUGGGCGUAAAGAGAUCGUAGGUGGCAUACUAAGUCUGGUGUAAAAUGCAGAAGCUCAACUUCUGUUCGGCACUGGAUACUGGUAAGCUUGAUUGCGGUAGAGGUAAGGGGAAUUCCUGGUGUAGCGGUGAAAUGCGUAGAUAUCAGGAGGAACAUCAGUGGCGUAGGCGGUUUACUGGACUGUAAUUGACGCUGAGGAACGAAAGCGUGGGGAGCAAAUGGGAUUAGAUACCCGAGUAGUC